rnacentral:rRNA from 1 species
CGCGUAGGCGGCUUGGCAAGUCAGAUGUGAAAGCCCCGGGCUUAACUCGGGAAUUGCAUCUGAAACUGCUUUGCUUGAGUCCUGGAUGGGAUAGUGGAAUUCCCAGUGUAGCGGUGAAAUGCGUAGAUAUUGGGAGGAACACCUGCGGCGAACGGCGGCUAUCUGGACAGUGACUGACGCUGAGGCGCGAAAGCUAGGGGGAGCGAACG